rnacentral:rRNA from 2 species
ACUUAUAGAUGGGCCCGCGGCGCAUUAGCUAGUUGGUGAGGUAAUGGCUCACCAAGGCGACGAUGCGUAGCCGACCUGAGAGGGUGAUCGGCCACACUGGGACUGAGACACGGCCCAGACUCCUACGGGAGGCAGCAGUAGGGAAUCUUCCGCAAUGGACGAAAGUCUGACGGAGCAACGCCGCGUGAACGAAGAAGGCCUUCGGGUCGUAAAGUUCUGUUGUUAGGGAAGAACAAGUACUAUUGACGGUACCUAACCAGAAAGCCACGGCUAACUACGUGCCAGCAGCCGCGGUAAUACGUAGGUGGCAAGCGUUGUCCGGAAUUAUUGGGCGUAAAGCGCGCGCAGGUGGUUCCUUAAGUCUGAUGUGAAAGCCCACGGCUCAACCGUGGAGGGUCAUUGGAAACUGGGGAACUUGAAUGCAGAAGAAGAAAGUGGAAUUCCUGUAACGGUGAAAUGCGUAGAGAU